rnacentral:lncRNA from 1 species
AUAGCGAGUGCAGAGGUUGGAGAAUACUAUUAUUCGAGAAGAGGAUGCUUGCCACCAUGAAGAUCUGAUACCAGAUUUCAUUGUGGAGAUAAAUCGAGAUCCACGACUAGCUAGUAGUGUCGAUCCUGAAUGUGACAAUCACAUUGUGAUGUAAAAAUCACGAUCUGAUGAACAUCCACAUGAUCUCGGUAUUCAUCUCUAUCUUUCCAAUUUUUAUGAGGAACUUGAAAAAGAAAAAGAAAUCACGAUGGAGCCCGAGAUCUCAGUGUUCUACUUUGAGAUGAGCACCAAGUAUUUGAUUAAUCGGUGUAUUGAAGAAAAAGUACCGAGGCACAUGGUGGACUACAUCACCAAUUAUUUGAUUAGCCUUUGCAAGGUCUAAGCUCAAG